CAACCCUCAUGCCCCAGCGGUGUGGUGUUGGGGAUCGGCCCGCCCGGGCCGUCCCCUAAAUCUAUUGGCGGACUCGCUGUAGCCUCACUCUGCGUAGUAGUGAUAUUUCGCAUUGGAGAGCGGCGAGCCCCUGCCGUAAAACCCCAACUUCUCA
rnacentral:misc_RNA from 1 species